rnacentral:rRNA from 1 species
UACGUAGGGGGCGAGCGUUGUCCGGAUUCAUUGGGCGUAAAGCGCACGUAGGCGGAUUGUUAAGUCGGGGGUGAAAUCCUGGAGCUCAACUCCAGAACUGCCUUCGAUACUGACGAUCUCGAGUCCGGGAGAGGUGAGUGGAACUCCGAGUGUAGAGGUGAAAUUCGUAGAUAUUCGCAAGAACACCAGUGGCGAAGGCGGCUGCCUGGCCCAAUACUGACACUCAGGUGCGACAGCG